rnacentral:lncRNA from 1 species
AAAACCUUCUUUGGCAUUAAGCUUAGAAAAAAACAUAUUAUUGGAAACAUAUGUACUAAGUUUCAAGUUUAUUGGACCUGACCUUCAACAAAAACUACCUUGACCAAAACAUUUAACCUGAAGCGAGAAAACGGACGAAGGAGCAGACGCAUAGACCGGAAAACUAAUGCCCAUUUACUAUCGUAGGUGGGGCAUAAAAAAAUUAAUCAUGAUUUUCUGCCAAUAUGCACAUUUACAUAGCAUGUCCUAACUAUCUAAAAAAUUCAUGAAACUCUGUUGUGGUCUUUAGACAGAUUUUAUGACAAACUGUUGUAGGAGUAUAUAGAAAAUCAAUGAAUUGAUAAUUUCAUAAUUUCCUCAUUAUCUACAAAGAUUUAUAAAACUCUGUUAUGUGGUUUCAGAGGAGUUGCAAUAACGAGAACAGGACUGACAGACCGAUGGAUCAAAAACAUUGUACCAUAAAGAACUUUGUUUGGUUUGGUAUAAUAAAGGGUCUGCUAAAUAAUGUAAGGCUGAGAUAAAUUAGUCAUUUGGUCACACCAGUUUUUUGGCGAGGUUCGUUUUGUUCAGUCUGUGAUGUUCUUUGUUGUGUUUUGCAUUCUGUUGUUUGUUUUUUAAUCUUUCUCUUUUUUUUUGCCGUGGUUUUGUCAGUUUAUUAUUGACUUAUGUGUUUGAAUAAGCCUUUAGUAUCUUUCGCCUCUCUCUUCGGUCAAUUUGAUUAUGUGGGACAUACAGAUUUAGACCCAAACUUGUCUCUGAUUGUUUCGUGAUUAUUGCAGAUGUAAAUCAUACUAUAAAAUUGAGUAUGGAAAUGGGGAAUGUGUCAAGGAGACAACAACCCGACCAUAGAGCAGACAACAGCCGAAGGCCACCGAUAGAUCUUCAAUGUAGCGAGAAACUCCCGCACACGGAGGUGUCCGUCAGCUGGCCCCUAAACAAAUAUGUAUACUAGUUCAGUGAUAAUGGACGUCAUACUAAGCUCCGAAUUAUACACAAGAAACUAAAAUUAUAAAUCAUACAAGACUAACAAAGGUCAGAGGCUCCUAACUUGGGACAGGCGCAAAAUUGCGGCGGGAUUAAACAUGUUUUUUGAGAUCUCAACCCUCCCCUAUACCUGUAGCCAAUGUAGAAAAAAACAAACGCGAAACAAUACGCACAGUAAAACUCAGUUUAAGAGAAGUCCGAGUCCGAUGUCAGAAUAUGAAACAAAAGAAAAUAAACAAAAUGACAAUAAUACAUAAAUAACAACAGACUACUAGCAGUUAUUGACAUGCCAGAACCAGACCUUAAUUAAACUGAUUGAAAGAUUAUGUCUUCAUCAUAUGAAUAUCAGGCACAAUCCCUCCUGUUAGGGGUUUAGUAUUAUACCGUCAUGAAAUAUACAACCC